rnacentral:rRNA from 1 species
UACAGAGGGUGCAAGCGUUGUUCGGAAUUAUUGGGCGUAAAGGGAGUGUAGGCUGUGAGGUAAGUCUUCUGUGAAAUCUACGGGCUUAGCCUGUAACGUGCAGAGGAAACUGCUUCGCUUGAGUGUCGGAGAGGAUAGGGGAAUACCCAGUGUAGAGGUGAAAUUCGUAGAGAUUGGGUGGAACACCAGUGGCGAAGGCGCCUAUCUGGCUGACACUGACGCUGAGACUCGAAAGCAUGGGGAGCAAACAGG